rnacentral:rRNA from 1 species
CAGCAGCCACGGGAAUACGGAGGGAGCUAGCGUUGUUCGGAAUUACUGGGCGUAAAGCGCACGUAGGCGGCUUUGUAAGUUAGAGGUGAAAGCCUGGAGCUCAACUCCAGAAUUGCCUUUAAGACUGCAUCGCUUGAAUCCGGGAGAGGUGAGUGGAAUUCCGAGUGUAGAGGUGAAAUUCGUAGAUAUUCGGAAGAACACCAGUGGCGAAGGCGGCUCACUGGACCGGCAUUGACGCUGAGGUGCGAAAGCGUGGGGAGCAAACAGGAUUAGAGACCCGAGUAGUCCCUGUCUCUUAUAC